rnacentral:rRNA from 1 species
UCCGUAUAUAUUCUUUGAGUAUAUAUGAAUUCCCUAUCAUACUUCCAAGAAAAGCUCGAACUACUGUACAACAAAAAAUACCUGUACCGUAAACUGACACAGGUGGGUUGGUAGAGUAUACUAAGGGGCGCGAGAUAACUCUCUCUAAGGAACUCGGCAAAAUGACCCCGUAACUUCGGGAGAAGGGGUGCCCUCUGAAAAGAGGGCCGCAGUGACCAGGCCCAGGCGACUGUUUAUCAAAAACACAGGUCUCCGCAAAGUCGUAAGACAACAUAUGGGGGCUGACGCCUGCCCAGUGCCGGAAGGUUAAGGAAGUUGGUUAAGACUUGUCUGAAGCUAACGACUGAAGCCCCGGUGAACGGCGGCCGUAACAAUAACGGUCCUAAGGUAGCGAAAUUCCUUGUCGGGUAAGUUCCGACCCGCACGAAAGGCGUAACGAUCUGGGCGCUGUCUCGGAGAGAGACUCGGUGAAAUAGACAUGUCUGUGAAGAUGCGGACUACCUGCACCUGGACAGAAAGACCCUAUGAAGCUUGACUGUAGCUUGAAAUUGGGUUCGGGCUCUUCUUGCGCAGCCUAGGUGGGAGGCUAUGAAAGGAGACUUUUGGGUUUCCUGGAGCCAUCAGUGAGAGACCACUCUGGAGGAGCUAGAAUUCUAAUGGCGUUCCUUGAAGCAGGACGCUUGACAGUUUCAGGUGGGCAGUUUGACUGGGGCGGUCACCUCCUAAAAGGUAACGGAGGUGUGCAAAGGUUCCCUCAGGCUGGACGGAAAUCAGCCGUAGAGUGUAAAGGCAGAAGGGAGCUUGACUGCAAGACCUACAAGUCGAGCAGGGGCGAAAGCCGGCCUUAGUGAUCCGACGGUUCCGUGUGGAAGGGCCGUCGCUAAACGGAUAAAAGUUACUCUAAGGAUAACAGGCUGAUCUUCCCCAAGAGUUCACAUCGACGGGAAGGUUUGGCACCUCGAUGUCGGCUCAUCGCAACCUGGGGCGGUAGUACGUCCCAAGGGUUGGGCUGUUCGCCCAUGAAAGCGGUACGUGAGCUGGGUUCAGAACGUCGUGAGACAGUUCGGUCCAUAUCCGGUGUAGGCGUUGGAGCAUUGAGAGGAGUCUUCCAUAGUACGAGAGGACCUGGAAGAACGCACCUCUGGUAUACCAGUUCUUCUGCCAAGAGGAAACGCUGGGUAGCCAAGUGCGGAGUGGAUAACCGCUGAAAGCAUCUAAGUGGGAAGCCCACCUCAAGAUGAGUGCUCCCUAUGAGGUCACGGCAAGACCAGCCGGUUGAUAGGCAGUAGGUGUACGCUUUGCAAGAAGUUGAGCUGAGCUGUACUAAUAGACCCAUUGAUUUU